AAUCAACGCUGGCGGCGUGCCUAACACAUGCAAGUCGAGCGAGAAAGUGGGGGCAACCCCAUGAGUACAGCGGCGACCGGGUGAGUAACACGUGACUAACCUACCCUUGAGUGGGGAAUAACUCCGGGAAACCGGAGCUAAUACCGCAUAACACCGCAAGGUCAAAGGAGCAAUUCGCUUAAGGAGGGGGUCGCGGUUGAUUAGCUAGUUGGUGGGGUAAUGGCCCACCAAGGCGAUGAUCAAAGCCGGCCUGAGAGGGCGCACGGCCACACUGGAACUGAAACACGGUCCAGACUCCUACGGGAGGCAGCAGUGGGGAAUUUUGUCGCAAUGGGGGAAACCCUGACGCAGCAACGCCGCGUGAAGGAUGAAGGUCUUUGGAUUG
rnacentral:rRNA from 1 species